rnacentral:rRNA from 1 species
ACCUGGUUGAUCCUGCCAGAGGCUACCGCUAUUGGAGUUCGAUUAAGCCAUGCGAGUCGCGAGAAAUUAGAUUCUCGGCGUACCGCUCAGUAACACGUGGGUAACCUGCCCUAUGCUGGAUAAUAACCUCGGGAAACUGAGAAUAAUGAUCCAUAGUUCACUACGCCUGGAACGGUGAGUGGAUGAAAGCUCCGGCGGCAUAGGAUGGGCCUGCGGCGUAUCAGGUUGUAGGGGGUGUAACGUACCCUCUAGCCCUCUACGCGUACGGGUGUUGGGAGACAUAGCCCGGAGAUGGAUUCUGAGACACGAAUCCAGACCCUACGGGGUGCAGCAGGCGCGAAAACUUGGCAAUGCGAGAAAUCGUGACCAGGGAACUCCAAGUGCAUCGGGUAAGACCGGUGCUUUUCUUGACUCUAAAUAGGUCUUGGAAUAAGGGGUGGGUAAGGACGGUGCCAGCCGCCGCGGUAAUACCGGCGCCUCAAGUGGUAGUCGCUUUUAUUGGGCCUAAAACGUCCGUAGCCGGUCUGAUACAUUCGUGGGUAAAUCAACCAGCUUAACUGGUUGAAUUCUGCGAGGACGGUCAGACUUGGGACCGGGAGAGGUGUG